CGGUGAAUACGUUCCCGGGCCUUGUACACGCCGCCCGUCAAGCGAUGGAAGUUGGGAGUACCUAAAGUCGGUCACCGCAAGGAGCCGCCUAGGGUAAAACCGAUAACUGGCGCU
rnacentral:rRNA from 1 species